rnacentral:rRNA from 1 species
CUAGGCUUGACAUGCAUGUGAAACGCCCAGAGAUGGGUGCCCCCGAAAGGGCAGAUGCACAGGUGCUGCAUGGCUGUCGUCAGCUCGUGUCGUGAGAUGUUGGGUUAAGUCCCGCAACGAGCGCAACCCUUACUGCCAGUUAGGAUGUCUGGCGGGACUGCCGGGAGAAACCCGGAGGAAGGCGGGGAUGACGUCAAGUCAGCACGGCCCUUACGCCUAGGGCUACACACACGCUACAAUGGCCGCGACAACGCGCAGCAAACCCGCGAGGGGGAGCGAAUCGCAUCAAACGCGGUCUCAGUUCGGAUUGCAGGCUGCAACUCGCCUGCAUGAAGGAGGAGUUGCUAGUAACCGUGGGUCAGCACACCACGGUGAAUACGUUCCC